GGUAAAUUCUGCCCUAUGGUUUUCUAAAUGGCUGCAGUAUUUUGACUGUGCAAAGGUAGCAUAGUAAUUAGUUUCUUAAUUAGAAGCUGGUAUGAAUGGAUUAAUGAGAAAGAUAUUUUAUUAAUUUCAUUUUUAUAAAUUAAAUUUUAAGUAAAAAUGCUUAAUUAAUUUCUAGGGACGAUAAGACCCUAUAGAACUUUAUAUAAUAUCAUAUAUUAAUAUAUUUUUAUAAAAAAUAUUAUAUUAAUAUUUAUUAUAAUUUACUGGGGUGGUAGAUAAAUUUUAACUUUAUAUUUAAAUUUCAAUAAUUAAUGUAAAUAAUGAUCCUUAUGGAAUUUAAGAUUUAGUUACCUUAGGGAUAACAGCGCAAUUUAAGUGGGGAGUUCAUAUCUAUAUUUUAUUUUGCGACCUCGAUGUUGAAUUAAGGAAAGAUUAAGAAGUAGAGUUCUUGUAUCUAAGUCUGUUCGACUU
rnacentral:rRNA from 1 species